CUCGGAAGGAAAUGGUGAUCUUUAGCUAGUCAGUCACAGUGUUUCAGGAAGAGACUGUCAGAGGAAGUGCUGUGUACUACAAGAUCCAUGAUGCUUUGGGUUUACCCAGAUCCUUGUUGUUGUUCCUAUGCUCACCUAAUAUGGAAUGUCGAACGUGUGUUUGUGUAGCAAGGUGCAAUGCAGGAGAGGGGGAGAGGAGUCCCAGGAUGUGGGUAUGAAGACACAAGCAGCUAGUUAACCCUUUACUAACUGCAGAUCACUAUGCAAGGGCAUUUUCUUAUUGUAUCAUAUUUUAUUAGGAUCAUCUGCUCACUGUAGAUCUUGUAUUGAACAAAUUUACAAUACAAAUUUCAAUCAUUAACCCCUUAAGGACAAAAUCUAGAAUUUAAACUAUAUAUCUGUUCUACCAUAGUUCACGCCUUUCGUAUUAAAGGGAAACUAUAGUGCCAGGAAAACAAACUGUUUUCCUGACACUAGAGCUUCCCCCUCUGUCGAAGACCCCCCCCUUGGUGCAGAAGGGGUUAUAAACCCCUUCUGUUAUUUACCUGGGUCCAGCGGUUAUAUAAUGCUUUCCUAUGGAGAUUCCGGUGACGCUGGUAGUCAUCAUGUCUAGCGUGAGGACAUUCACGUCAGGUGCCCAAAAGUCUGGUAGACAGCCACUAGAGGUGGAGUUAACUCUGUAAAGUAAUUAUUGGAGUUUCUUAAAAACUGCAACAAUUACCUUUGCAAGGUUUAGGGGACUGGGACACUGCACACAGACCAAUUCAAUGAACUGAAGUGGUUUGGAUGCAUACAGUGUCCCUUUAAGUGCAAACACACUUAUUAUGUAUCGUUUUUGUUCAUGAGAAAUAGGGCUUUCAUUUCAUAUAAAAUAUAUAUAUAUAUUAUAUAUAAAGCCUAAUUUAAUAUUAAUAAAACCUAAUAAAGUAUUUAGAAACGAACACAUUUUAUUUUCCAAGUUCUGUACAACACUUUGCAUAUUGUUGUUGGGUCUUACUGCAAUAAAACAGAUUUUAGUUAAAUGGCCAAAUAAAGAGCUUGCCCGUUCCUCUCCCAGCUCAUUCUUCCACUGUGUUUGUAUACCCCACUCCCCCUUAAUUUGUAAGAUUGUUUGAGCAAGACCGUCUUCCCCUCUUUUUUUUCUGAAUACAUAAAAGUGUGUCACCUUUUUGUACAACUCAAAACUAACUAAAAGUUAUCUACGUUUUUUUUGUUUUUAUUUGAUCAAAAUUCUCAUUAUUUUUAAUUUGAGGAUUUCUAAAAAAAAAAAAUCCGUGCUGGGUCCAGCACUGAUGUCCCUCGGCACUGGCUCAGGUCCGCCGUCACUCCACAAUGGCCACAUUCGCAUUAGGGUUUCCCCAUUGGAAAACAUUAUACAAUGCUUUCCUUUGGGGUUUUACGUGACGCUGGACGUCCCCAUGAGUAGACACUAGAGGUGGAGUAAACCCUGAACGGUAUUUAUUGCAGUUUGUUAAUAACUGAAAUAAUUACCUUUGCAGUGUAAGGGCACUGGGAUAAUGCAUCCAGAUCACUUCAAUCAGCUGAAGUAGUCUGGGUGCCUAUAGUGUCCCUUUAGGUGAAAGCAGACACACAGUGAGAAAGAACAGAAACAGUCUGGGGAGACAUUUAGGGAAAAGAUAGAGACUGUUGAGAUAUUUAGGAAACAGACUGGGAAACAUUUUAGGAGAGAAACAUAGUGAGCACACAUUUAGGGAAAGAAACACUCUCACUAACACACACACUCACUGACAUACACAUUGUCAGUUACACACUCUCACUAACAUAUAUGCACUCUCACCGACAUACACAUUGUCACUUACACGCUCUCGCUAACACACACACAGAGUCACUUACACAGUGUCACUUGCACUCUCACUAACAUACAUACACUCUCACUGGCAUAUACAUUGUCAGUUACACUCUCAUUAACAUACACACACACAGAGUCACUUACAGUGUCACUUGCACACUCUCACUAACACACACACACACACACACAGUCCCCUAUACAUUCUCACUAACACAGUGUCACUUACACACUGUCACUAACACACACACACACACACACACCAAGAGUUACUUACACAUUCUCACUAACACACACUUGCACACUUUCACUAAAACACACACACACACACACACAAACAAACAAGAGUCACUUACACAUUCUCACUAACACAGUGUCACUUGAACACUCUCACUAACACACACACACACACCGAGAGUAACUUACACAUUCUCACUAACACACACUUUAACUUGCACACUUUCACUAAAACACACGCACACACACAAACAAGAGUCACUUACACAUUCUCAUUAACACAGUGUCACUUAUACAAUUUGACUAACACACACACACUGUGACUCAAACACAAACUCACAUCACUUUACAUAAAGUCACACAUUAUUAACACAAAUACAGCAAUUUAAAACACACACAAUCACAAACCAAUUUACAAUCAUGCACACAAUAAACCAUCCCCCUUAGCCUGCCAUACCUGGGUGCUGUGAAGAGGAGAAGAAGUCCGACCUGCAGGUAGCUACUCUGUUUAUGGUAGGGGGAAGCAAGAGAGCCGUGCACUGUGAGCACAGGCUUCUUCCUGUUCCCCUUAGAGUGCUUCCGGUGUUCACAGGCAGGGGGCAGCCGGGAUACCAAAUCAUGUAAGAACAAUCGGGAUGUGGAAUUCUCUGCCUGAAGAAGUUGUUUUAUCAGAGUCUAUACAGAUGUUCAAACAGCUACUAGAUGCAUACUUGCAAAAACAGAAUAUUCAAGGAUAUAAUCUUUCAAUGUAGGGUAAUAACUGCUUGCUCCAAGGAUAAAUCUGACUGCCAUUCUGGGGUCAAGAAGGAAUUUUUUUCCUAGCUUGUUGCAAAAUUGUGCUUCAAACUGUUUUUUUUUGCCUUCUUUUGGAUCAACAGCAAAAAACAAAUGUGAGGAAGGCUGAACUUGAUGGGCGCAAGUCUCUUUUCAGCUAUGUAACUAUGUAUGUAACUAUGUAACUAUGACAUAAUGCGUAUGGGGAUCGCUGAAAUCGCAUUAGGACUUCCCUAUAGGAAAGCAUUGAAUCAGUUUUUAAUCGGUUUUAAGGUGAUGCAUGUCCUCAUGCAAAGUGUGGGGAUGUCUAGUGUCAUAUAGCAGACCAAAAGUACACAGAGUUAACCCUGCAAGGUAAUUAUUGCUGUUUAUCAAUUACUGCAAUAAUUACAAUUGCAGGGUAAAGUGGACAGGGACACUGCACCAAGACCACUUCUAAGAAAUGUUUUUUCUCCAAAUCUAUACAUUUGCUAGUGAACCUGCUAAUGCAAUGUUGAGAUAGAAUGUUAUGCUCUUUAAAAAAAAAAAAAAAAGCGUACGUAGUAUCUACCAUGACAUGUACCGUUUAAGAAUAGGUUUUAUAUUAACAUAUAUUCUUUUUGUUUUGAUAAUUGGUUUGCAUGUAUUGUAAUCAAUAUCAGCUCCAUAGGCAGGGAUAGAUGCAUGCAAUGAUUAGUAUUAUCGGUCAGCAUGCCAAUAUAGCUGUUCGGGAAUAAGAGCACAAAGCUGUAUAUUGCAAAUGGCUGUAUUAAGCACAUUAAUAAAUGCAGAUGUUCUAUGAUCUGCACAAGAAGCUCUGUUUUGAUUCUUAUUACUGAAUAAUGCCGAAUUUAGAGAACAAUUUUCAACCAAUAUGUAAAUCUAUCCUGCACAAUAAUCUCAUUCUUCUGUUUUGUACUCUGCUGAGAGAAGAAUUAUGGCAACAAAAAAUCCAUGGAUAAUAAAUCUGAAAAGAUCUCCUCAUCACUGGACUGAAGGCCCCUUAUUUGUUAACAAAUUGUUAAUAUAAUAAAUAGUUUUUAUAUUGUAUAAGGCAAUGGCUGCGCUCGCAUUAAAAUCUCCCCAUAGGAAAGAAUUAUACAAUGCUUUGUAUAGUAGUAGACAACCACUCGAGGUGGAUUUAAUUCUGAAGGUAAUUAUUGCAGUUUCUUAAAAACUUUAAUAAUUCCUUUUGCAGAUGUAAGGGAUCUGGAACACUGCACCCAGACCACUUCAAUAAGCUGAAGUGGUCUGGGUGCCAUAGUGUCCCUUUAAACCUUCCAUCUUUACUAAUGCAUGCAAAUUAACAUCACAAAGGCAUGAGAUGAAUCAAACGUUGACUUGUAUGUAAUAAAUAAACAUGUAAUUUCUGAAUGGUCUGAUAUAACUAUGCCUGAUUUCUAUCUGAUGCUAUUUGUCAUGUUGAAAUUAAUACUAUACAUUAUUGUUUUCGUUCCAGAGCUGAGUAACAACAGCCCAAAACAGAAGAAGAAGGCAAUUGCCUCCACAGAUGUAGAAUACAACAAUCUAAUGCUGUUAAUAAUUUAUAGCAACAGUAUUUUUUGCAGUAGGUUUGCAAUAAUGUGUUUAGGGUUUAUUACCAUGGAAAUCUAGCAAUUUAGCCUACAGAGAAGCUCAUCUAUAGGGUUUAGGAUAAUUGUUGCUGUCCAAAACAAAAUGUUUUGUCAAACUCCGAUUUUUCCAAGCAGACACAAUGAGGAUGCAAAAGCAUUGCAUAUGACAGGUCCAGCCAUAAGAUACAUAGUUUCUAAAGUUCUAAUAUUCUAAAAGCCAACGGUGACUACAUAUUGAAAUAGAACACUGCCAAAAAUAAAGCCGCAACAUGUAGCUUGUUCUUAAAAUAAACACGUCAAGAAUUUGAAAUCAAUGUAAGUGGUAAAAUUGUGGAAUGGAACUGUUAGGAAGCAACCACAAAGGGAGGUACCAAGUGCUGAAGUGCGAAGUGCAUAGAUACCAUCUGUUAAAUUAUCAUCUGUUGCAUCACUGACUACAAAGUUUUGAAUUGUCCCCCGGAAGCAAUUUUAGAGAGCUUUAUUAAAUGGGUUUCAUGACUGAGCAGCUGUACAGAAACGUUAAAUUAAAAUGAUCAAUGUCAAGCGUCAACUGAUAUAAAGCGCACAAGGACUGGACUCUGGAAUAGUGGAAAUAUGCUCUCUCGAGUGAUGGCAGUCUGUCGGAAGAAUCUGGGUGCUGUGGAUGUCAGUAGAACUCUAUCUACCAGCAUGCAUACUGCCUACUGUAAAGUUUGAUGGAGAAAGGAUAAUGUCCUGCGACUUAAUUUCAGGGUUUGGGCUUGACCUUAGCACAGUGAAGGGUCAUCUUGAUACAACAUUACACAAAGGCAUUUUAAACAAUUGGAUGUUUUUAGAAACCCACUUUGAGGAAGGCCCUAUCCUGUUACAGAAUGACUGUACCCAUAUUCAAAGAGUGAGUUCAAUGUAGACAUGGUUUAACGAGGUUGGUGAAAGAAAUUCGAGAGGCCUACACAAAUUCCUAACUUCAACUCCAUUGAAUAUAUUUGGGUUGAAUAGGAAUAAGGGUUGUCUAAUAUCAGUGCCUGACCUCACAGAUUCUCAUUCACACCCAGAGGCAUAAUAUAAAAUCUUGUAGAAUUAAUUAUAAGGGGCUUUAAACCAAUGUCACUCAAAACCUUCACAGCAAAGUUCUUCACUCAAUAAAUAUGAGCUACAAAACGUGAGCUACAAAACAUUGCUUUUCAC
rnacentral:lncRNA from 1 species